CGGGUUGGAAUCCCAGUGAAGCAUCCCUAAUACCCAUUAUCAGUUCUGGUCCACUUUCUCUCAGGUUCUAUCACAGACAGAUAAGUGCAGCUUGUUGGGAAUUGGGGAAAGGCAUAUUUUAACAUGUAAUGUACAUUUUAACAUUUGCAAUUUAAAGUUCUAAAACUCCCCAGGACAUGUAAGUGAUCAUUAAUACUACUACACCCUUAUUCACUUCGAGACUGUGAUGAUGUCACUAGCUAAUAGUGUCCUAAAUGGGCGGGGCCAUCAUCAUGAGGUUGCCAAUUCAUCAUUUGUAUUUCAACUGAUCAAACAAUGAUCAUUUGAUUAACUUUUUUUAGGCCUUUUGUAAUAAUUUGAUUUGGAUGCUUCUGGUAUUUGGACGUUUUAGAAAAAUGAUCCUCAACUAUAACCAAAGAAGAAUUUUGCUGGUUUAUGUGGUACAACAGUGUUUGAUGUGCAGUUUGCCCCAUUUACAAGGCUUCGUCAUUCAGAGAUAGCAAAUGACACUGUAGGACAUUACCUAAUCUUUAGUAUUCUUUUAUUUAAAGGUAAUUGAAAAUGUGAUUCUAAGCUCUCAGAGCUUUUCUUAUCUUACUAUUAACUAGAGCUUUUAUCCCAU
rnacentral:lncRNA from 1 species